GCACCCGUAGCUCAAUUGGAUAGAGCAUCUGACUACGAAUCAGAAGGUUUUGAGUUCAAAUCUCGACGGGUGUA
rnacentral:tRNA from 1 species